rnacentral:rRNA from 1 species
GAUGAACGCUGGCGGCGUGCCUAAUACAUGCAAGUCGAGCGAACAGACGAGGAGCUUGCUCCUCUGACGUUAGCGGCGGACGGGUGAGUAACACGUGGAUAACCUACCUAUAAGACUGGGAUAACUUCGGGAAACCGGAGCUAAUACCGGAUAAUAUAUUGAACCGCAUGGUUCAAUAGUGAAAGACGGUUUUGCUGUCACUGAUAGAUGGAUCCGCGCCGCAUUAGCUAGUUGGUAAGGUAACGGCUUACCAAGGCAACGAUGCGUAGCCGACCUGAGAGGGGAGUCGGCCACACUGCAUCUGAGCCGCGGUCCGGCCCCCACCGGGAGGCAGCGCAGGGGAAUCUUCCGCAAUGGGCGAAAGCCUGACGGAGCACCGCGGCGUGGGUUAGGAAGGUCUUCGGUUCGUAAAACUCUGUUCUUAGGAAGAACAAAUGUGUAAGUAACUGUGCACGUCUUGACGGUACCUAAUCAGAAAGCCACGGCUAACUACGUG